GCAUAUCAAUAAGCGGAGGAAAAGAAACCAACAGGGAUUGCCCCAGUAACGGCGAGUGAAGCGGCAACAGCUCAAAUUUGAAAUCUGGCCCCAGGCCCGAGUUGUAAUUUGCAGAGGAUGCUUUUGGUGCGGUGCCUUCCAAGUUCCCUAGAACGGGACGCCAGAGAGGGUGAGAGCCCCGUACAGUUGGACACCAAGCCUUUGUAAAGCUCCUUCGACGAGUCGAGUAGUUUGGGAAUGCUGCUCAAAAUGGGAGGUAUAUUUCUUCUAAAGCUAAAUACCGGCCAGAGACCGAUAGCGCACAAGUAGAGUGAUCGAAAGAUGAAAAGCACUUUGAAAAGAGGGUUAAACAGCACGUGAAAUUGUUAAAAGGGAAGCGCUUGUGACCAGACUUGCGUCCGGUGAAUCACCCAGCUCUCGCGGCUGGGGCACUUCGCCGGCUCAGGCCAGCAUCAGCUCGCUGUCGGGGACAAAAGCUUCAGGAACGUAGCUCUCUUCGGGGAGUGUUAUAGCCUGUUGCAUAAUACCCUUCGGCGGGCUGAGGUACGCGCUCCGCAAGGAUGCUGGCAUAAUGGUCAUCAGCGACCCGUCUUGAAACACGGACCAAGGAGUCAACCUUAUGUGCGAGUGUUCGGGUGUCAAACCCCUACGCGUAAUGAAAGUGAACGCAGGUGAGAGCUUCGGCGCAUCAUCGACCGAUCCUGAUGUUCUCGGAUGGAUUUGAGUAAGAGCAUAUAGGGUUGGACCCGAAAGAAGGUGAACUAUGCGUGUAUAGGGUGAAGCCAGAGGAAACUCUGGUGGAGGCUCGCAGCGGUUCUGACGUGCAAAUCGAUCGUCAAAUAUGCGCAUGGGGGCGAAAGACUAAUCGAACCUUCUAGUAGCUGGUUUCCGCCGA
rnacentral:rRNA from 1 species